GUCAGUAGAGGGGGCGUGAGAAAGGAUUACAUAAAGUAAAUCCCAUGUAUAUUUGAGUUUAGGGCCACACCACAUCUGUGAGGUUUAGCAAUGGAUUGUGUGAUUCAGUAGCUAAAGAAAAAUCACUGCAGUUAUGUGAGAAGCUAAAAGAGAAAUGAAAACCAAUCAUCCUUAAUUUUAGACUCAUGACUACUUUUGCUUCA